rnacentral:rRNA from 1 species
GACGAACGCUGGCGGCGUGCCUAACACAUGCAAGUCAACUUGACUGAAGGAGCAAUCUGACAGUAGAGUGGCGCAAGGGUGCGUAACGCGUAAGUAACUUGCCCCAAGGUAAGGAAUAACGUCGAGAAAUCGGCGCUAAUACCUCAUAAUGCAGCGGAUCCGCAUGGAUAUGUUGUUAAAGGUUUAUCGCCUUGGGAUAGGCUUGCGUCUGAUUAGCUAGUUGGUGUGGUAACGGCACACCAAGGCUACGAUCAGUAACUGGUCUGAGAGGAUGAUCAGUCACACUAGGAACUGAGACACGGUCCAGACUCCUACGGGGA